CGCCUCCGGAGUUGUCGGAGUUCCCGAGUUGUGUCAAAAUGGCGCCGUCUCGCUAGUAUCGGUGUGUUGGCAGAAAUGCUUGUCGAUACUUCGUCCCUGUUCGACAAGAGGCACCUGAAAAAAUCGAAAAGCCCACGAAGAAGAUCCGUGGAAUAGAAUUGGUGAGAAUGGAUCAACAUCUAGCCACAAUGAAAAGUAACAGCGACAGAGUGAUUAUACCUUGCGAGUUCUGUCAGAAACCCGUGAAGAGCUACAACCUUGAAAACCACUUGACAAUCUGCGAAAAGGCUGACGUAAUCCGCCGCCGACGCCCAUCAGCGACUAUUGAACGGCAGCCCGAGGUUGCUCCAAAUGCGGAAGUCACCUUUCGGCUGCAGUCAGGCCCAUUGUGGGAUACCGUGAAGAUGUACGCUCGUGACAUAAACUUGGUGUCGCUCCACAGGAGGGCCUUCAACUUCCUCUGCACCAGGUCUCCGGAGCACGGUCUGAAUCGACUGAAUGAACGCCUGCUCUUGUUUCUGCACAACUACGAAAGCGGCAACGUCCUUCUACCUCUCACGGCGGCUUUCAAGAUAACGGAGGGCGCUGUGUUGGAGGUCGUCGUCUUAGCUCAAGAAAUGCAGAGCGAGCAAACCACACAGGCGGCGACGUGCAAACACUACCACACUCGCUAACGGUCCACAACUACAAGUUUCCUACGUUCUGCAACCUUUGUGGGUUUAUGCUUUUCGGGCUGUAUCGACAGGGACUAAAGUGCAGAUGGUGUGGACUGAACUUCCACAGCAGAUGCGCUGGCAAGAUGGUCACCCACUGCAACGCUGCACCUCGCUUGUAGUACUUCAUUUCAAAUUUUGAAUUUAAGGUUGAUUUGCCCAUAUGCAUUUAA
rnacentral:misc_RNA from 1 species